GGUGUUCGUAGGUGCCCUGAACUCGCCUGAUCUCAUCUGAUCUUGGAAGCUAAGCAGGGGCGGGCCUGGUUAGUACUUGGAUGGGAAGCCCAUUAUUUUUAGCCAAUGUGGUAUAGAACACUUGUAAACCAACACUU
ensembl:rRNA 5S_rRNA 5S ribosomal RNA